AAAAAGAAUAAACUAUACCAAAGCUUUGAUGUUUGUGGCCAGGCGGAGGAGAGCCUUGUACAGAAUCCAUACUAACAUAUUUCUCUUUUUGCAGGUGACCUGACCGAUGAGAUUUCCACCAGAUACGGGGUGAUCCAUUGAACCUGGAGGGAGGGACACUGACCUGGAGCCUCGAAUCGAGCUAAAUGCGAGCUAAACUUAAGUAAAACAAGCAAAAAAGUUGUGAAAGGAGACAAUUGCUAUUCCAAUACUCUAUACGUAUUACGUACAUAUAUUUAUAUAUAUAUAUACAAGUGCCCAAGACCUAAACGUUCGUUUCUGUAUGCCACUAAAAAGUAACCAGACUUAAACCGAACCUGUACCUGAACCUGAACCUGUAUCCAAUCCCAGCCGUGUCUAUUGAUGUUCUCAAGCAAAAACCAAACUACAACAAAACCCACCACCACCCCAGCAGCACUCCAGCUACAGUUCAAUAAAUUUAGUUGUCCUUUUUGAUUUUUAAAAUUUAAUUUAAAAUAAAUACGUUUACACCCUGCA
rnacentral:sRNA from 1 species